CUACGGGUUGCACCAGUGAGGAAUAUUGCACAAUGGGGGGAACCCUGAUGCAGCAACGCCGCGUGGAGGAUGACGCAUUUCGGUGUGUAAACUCCUUUUAUAUGUCAAGAAAAUGACGGUAGCAUAUGAAUAAGCACCGGCUAACUCCGUGCCAGCAGCCGCGGUAAUACGGAGGGUGCAAGCGUUACUCGGAAUCACUGGGCGUAAAGGACGCGUAGGCGGGUUGGAAAGUCAGGUGUGAAAUCCUACAGCGUAACUGUAGAACGGCACUUUAAACUUCUAAUCUAGAGUAUGGGAGGGGGAGAUGGAAUUAGUGGUGUAGGGGUAAAAUCCGUAGAUAUCACUAGGAAUACCUAAAGCGAAGGCGAUCUCCUGGAACAUUACUGACGCUAAGGCGUGAAAGCGUGGGGAGCAAACAGGAUUAGAUACCCUAGUAGUC
rnacentral:rRNA from 1 species